rnacentral:sRNA from 1 species
AUAACCCUGCUUAAUCGAAGCCUGACGUCAUGCGUCAGAUAUUGAUGUAGGUUAAGCGAGGUUUU